rnacentral:rRNA from 1 species
UACGUAGGUGGCAAGCGUUGUCCGGAUUUAUUGGGUUUAAAGGGUGCGUAGGCGGCCUUGUAAGUCAGUGCUGAAAUAUCCCGGCUUAACCGGGAGGGUGGCAUUGAUACUGCAGGGCUUGAGUAAAGUUGAGGUUGGCGGAAUUGACGGUGUAGCGGUGAAAUGCUUAGAUAUCGUAAGGAAGACCAGUGGCGAAGGCGGGGUCUCUGGACAGUUCCUGACGCUGAGGCACGAAGGCCAGGGGAGCAAACGGG